rnacentral:rRNA from 1 species
AGAGUUUGAUCCUGGCUCAGAGCGAACGCUGGCGGCAUGCUUAACACAUGCAAGUCGCACGGGCAGUUUCGGCUGUCAGUGGCGGACGGGUGAGUAACGCGUAGGUAUUUAUCCUGAGGUGGGGGACAACCACGGGAAACUGUGGCUAAUACCGCAUGAAGCCUGAGGGCCAAAGCUUGAGAGAGCGCCAUGGGAGGAGC